rnacentral:rRNA from 1 species
GACGAACGCUGGCGGCGUGCUUAACACAUGCAAGUCGAACGGAAAGGCCCUGCUUUUGUGGGGUGCUCGAGUGGCGAACGGGUGAGUAACACGUGAGUAACCUGCCCUUGACUUUGGGAUAACUUCAGGAAACUGGGGCUAAUACCGGAUAGGAGCUCCUGCUGCAUGGUGGGGGUUGGAAAGUUUCGGCGGUUGGGGAUGGACUCGCGGCUUAUCAGCUUGUUGGUGGGGUAGUGGCUUACCAAGGCUUUGACGGGUAGCCGGCCUGAGAGGGUGACCGGCCACAUUGGGACUGAGAUACGGCCCAGACUCCUACGGGAGGCAGCAGUGGGGAAUAUUGCACAAUGGGCGGAAGCCUGAUGCAGCAACGCCGCGUGCGGGAUGACGGCCUUCGGGUUGUAAACCGCUUUCGCCUGUGACGAAGCGUGAGUGACGGUAAUGGGUAAAGAAGCACCGGCUAACUACGUGCCAGCAGCCGCGGUGAUACGUAGGGUGCGAGCGUUGUCCGGAUUUAUUGGGCGUAAAGGGCUCGUAGGUGGUUGAUCGCGUCGGAAGUGUAAUCUUGGGGCUUAACCCUGAGCGUGCUUUCGAUACGGGUUGACUUGAGGAAGGUAGGGGAGAAUGGAAUUCCUGGUGGAGCGGUGGAAUGCGCAGAUAUCAGGAGGAACACCAGUGGCGAAGGCGGUUCUCUGGGCCUUUCCUGACGCUGAGGAGCGAAAGCGUGGGGAGCGAACAGGCUUAGAUACCCUGGUAGUCCACGCUGUAAACGGUGGGUACUAGGUGUGGGGUCCAUUCCACGGGUUCCGUGCCGUAGCUAACGCUUUAAGUACCCCGCCUGGGGAGUACGGCCGCAAGGCUAAAACUCAAAGGAAUUGACGGGGCCCCGCACAAGCGGCGGAGCAUGCGGAUUAAUUCGAUGCAACGCGUAGAACCUUACCUGGGUUUGACAUGGAUCGGGAGUGCUCAGAGAUGGGUGUGCCUCUUUGGGGUCGGUUCACAGGUGGUGCAUGGCUGUCGUCAGCUCGUGUCGUGAGAUGUUGGGUUAAGUCCCGCAACGAGCGCAACCCUUGUUCACUGUUGCCAGCACGUUAUGGUGGGGACUCAGUGGAGACCGCCGGGGUCAACUCGGAGGAAGGUGGGGAUGACGUCAAGUCAUCAUGCCCCUUAUGUCCAGGGCUUCACGCAUGCUACAAUGGCUGGUACAGAGAGUGGCGAGCCUGUGAGGGUGAGCGAAUCUCGGAAAGCCGGUCUCAGUUCGGAUUGGGGUCUGCAACUCGACCUCAUGAAGUCGGAGUCGCUAGCAAUCGCAGAUCAGCAACGCUGCGGUGAAUACGUUCCCGGGGCU